rnacentral:rRNA from 1 species
GAGCUGGGUUUAGAACGUCGUGAGACAGUUCGGUCCCUAUCUACCGUGGGCGCUGGAAAUUUGAGAGGAUCUGCUCCUAGUACGAGAGGACCAGAGUGGACGAACCUCUGGUGUACCGGUUGUGACGCCAGUCGCAUCGCCGGGUAGCUAUGUUCGGAAGGGAUAACCGCUGAAAGCAUCUAAGCGGGAAGCCUACCUCAAGAUAAGAUUUCCCUAGGACUUUAUGUCCUCUAAAGAGCCGUUCGAGACUAGGACGUUGAUAGGUUGGAUGUGGAAGCAUAGUGAUAUGUGAAGCUGACCAAUACUAAUUGCUCGUGAGGCUUGACUAUACAACACCCAAGCAGUUG